AUUGAACGCUGGCGGCAGGCCUAACACAUGCAAGUCGAACGAGUGGCGGACGGGUGAGUAAUGUCUGGGAAACUGCCUGAUGGAGGGGGAUAACUACUGGAAACGGUAGCUAAUACCGCAUACCAUCAGAUGUGCCCAGAUGGGAUUAGCUAGUUGGUGGGGUAACGGCUCACCAAGGCGACGAAGCCUAGCUGGUCUGAGAGGAUGACCAGCCACACUGUAACUGAGACACGGUCCAGACUCCUACGGGAGGCAGCAGUGGGGAAUAUUGAGCAAUGGGCGCAAGCCUGAUGCAGCCAUGCCGCGUGUAUGAAGAAGGCCUUCGGAUUGUAAAGCACUUUUAGCGGGGAGGCGUUACCCGAAGAAGAAGCCCCGGCUAACUCCGUGCCAGCAGCCGCGGUAAUUC
rnacentral:rRNA from 1 species